rnacentral:rRNA from 1 species
CCUACGGGGGGCUGCAGUGGGGAAUAUUGGACAAUGGGGGAAACCCUGAUCCAGCCAUGCCGCGUGUGUGAAGAAGGCCCUCGGGUUGUAAAGCACUUUCAGUGAGGAAGAACGCCUGGUGGUUAAUACCCAUCAGGAAAGACAUCACUCACAGAAGAAGCACCGGCUAACUCCGUGCCAGCAGCCGCGGUAAUACGGAGGGUGCGAGCGUUAAUCGGAAUUACUGGGCGUAAAGCGCGCGUAGGUGGCUUGAUAAGCCGGUUGUGAAAGCCCCGGGCUCAACCUGGGAACGGCAUCCGGAACUGUCAAGCUAGAGUGCAGGAGAGGAAGGUAGAAUUCCCGGUGUAGCGGUGAAAUGCGUAGAGAUCGGGAGGAAUACCAGUGGCGAAGGCGGCCUUCUGGACUGACACUGACACUGAGGUGCGAAAGCGUGGGUAGCAAACAGGAUUAGAUACCCUGGUAGUC